UUGACGUAGAAAUAUCUCAUUGGUCAGCCCCUCUCUCUCCCUCGUCUCUUCUCAUCUCGUUCCUCUUCUCCCAUGCCGCCGCCUCUUCCCCCUCCCUCUCGGCCGCCUCAUCACCACCCCCUCCUCCUCCCCUGCCUCCUCACCCGAUUAGCAUGUCCAGGCGACGACCUGCAAGCAAAGGGAGACAAUGAUGGCUCUCGAUUCGUUCUGCAGGAAAGAAAGGAUGAGAGGGAGAGAGAGAAGGGAGGAGAGGAGGGAGAAAGAGAUAGAAGAAAGGAAAGGGAGGUGCUCUGGCCGCUCAUCUAGGCCUCGGUGGUCCAGGGAGGCGUAGAUGGCAAAUUUUUUAUUCCAGCCUCCGUCAUGAUCCAUCAGAUCCGCAAAUCAUCCGAGGCCCCACGAACACCAGGUGUUUGGCGCCGCCCCCAGGAGCUCUCACCGCCUCCCGAGGACCUCCUCUCCUUUGCUGCCCCGAGGGAUGCCUUGAACUCCUCUGUCCAUGGUGAGCAGAGGGCCAAACCUCAACGUGAGCUCCUCAUACCUAAAAGUGUGGUUUCUUUUUCCAUAAAAGCAUUUACAUCUGAAGCUUUUUUUCUCACACCCCAACCUGGAUUUCUGACUGACUUGAUGUAAUUUUUCAUACCCUUGCUUCACUAACAUAUCAAUAAAAGGGAGGAGUAAUAUAUACCCAGUUUGUUUGUUUGAAGGAUGCAACAACAUGCAAAAAUAAUUUUGCCGGUGGUCAAACCCCUCUUCUACUGUUGUGGUAUUGUAAGUUUGCACGGUGCAGCAGCCUGGAGAGGCGGCCAACAACGCACGUGUGAAGCAACAAUAAACACGGCUGAUGUGCUCUGCUUCCCCCUCUCUUUUUUAAUUAAUGGAUCUCUUACUGAGCGGAGCAUUUCUUUAGGUUGGCAGCACAAAUGAUAUAGCUAAAUUAUCUUCCAUCAUAAUUAAAUAAUUCUUGGCACUGUCAAUGAUACAUUAGAUAGCCGUAUGGAAUUUUUUUAUAUGUUUGUGAAGCAAGGGAUUUUUAGGGAUUUCGGGGAAUAUGAUGAAUUGUUGUUGAUUUCAUAGUUUCCUGAUUAUUAUGUUUUCAACCCUGUCAAGAUGUAAAUAUAAAUUGAUGUUGCUGCUGGCUUCCUAAGUCUUCCAAGGUGAUAAUUGUGUAAUCUUUUUAAAAUUUGCAAUGAAAAAAUAUUCUUUCCGUUGUUUAUCCUAUAGAGUUCAGUACCAUGUGUAGGAAAACCUUUGUUUAGAACAAAAACCAUUUCCUUUGUUUAUGCUUGAUUGUCCAAUAUCACAUUAGGUAGAUGGGUUUAUUGAGAUGUACAUAUGUGAUGAUUUUCAGGUGUUCAAACACCAAAUUGCAUCUGGCGGACUAUCUACGAUGUUGUGGCAUUGGACUAUGAGAAAGUUACAGUCUUUAUUGAUGCAACAGUUGUUGCAAGGCCAAAUAUCCAUUUGGCAAGUAUUAGAGAUAUGAGGACUAUCGUCGUGGAAAGACCAACCUUGGAAGAGUGGCGCCGUUGUGUUGCUCGUGGUGUAUUUCAUUCUUGGCACCGAAGUGGCAUACAUGCUUAGGUGCAUCGGAGUCAAAAAAACAUGCUGCUACCUCUUGCUGUCUGUCCAUCCGGCAUAUAACUUCUAAUCUGUCCAAUAUACAGUUUUUUUUGUUUUGGACUGCACCCUUAUAAUUUUGCUUUGCUGAAUUCACUAUGUUUACUUCAGUUCGCUUUUGAGUUAGCAAUAAUGACUAGUUAACAAUGUUUUAGCUGAUGAUUCCGGACAGUAUCGACCGGUUCAUUGAGCAGAGUGGUGGGAAGCUCCAGAACACCCUUUCCAAAUAUAAUUUCCUUUUCAUCA